CGUCUCCUAGGCCGCCUUGCUGGCCGCUGUCCAGAGGCAGGACUCUUUGUGUCAGGUGCUGGUCACACCUUGGGGGCCUGAGACCCGGGUGCAGAGGUGAGGGGAGGGAGGUGGGGAGGGGCGGUGCUGGGUAGCACCUGCCUUGGGGCUCACCUGCCAAGAUCAGAUGAGACUUGGCCUUUCAUCGUGGGGUUGAACUGAUUCAGGCCCAGCUCAGCGCUCCUCCGAGGUCGGGUCUUGGCUGAGUAUGUGGGGGCUGCUCCUGAGUCCGGGGUGGGGGAAGAAGAAGGAGAGAGCCUGACUGAGCAACCGCCCCCCCCCCCAGGCCACGUACAGGUGGGGCCUUUCACACCCGAGCAAGUGUCUAGUCUGCAGAGCCACGAGAGGCCACGAAGGGGGUUGAAUGAGCCCCCGAGUUAGACAGACCGGAUGUCAAUUCUGAGGCUCUAGGUGGAUGUGGAUGUGGCAUUUAGCUGCCCCUCUGCUCCUGUGCCUUUCCUACAGUCAAGGAGAGAAAGUAAUGGACAGAUUAGGGCGGGGGAGGGGGUGUUCAGUAACUGACGAUGUUCGGUAAGUGAUAUUUCAGACAGCUCUUGCUUUUUCUUUCUUUUUUUUUUUUUUUUCCAUUUAGCAGUUUUACUUAAGUUCUUUAGAAUAAAUAUACCUACCUAUGGUACUAACUGAAAUUUGUUAUGAAGAAUCUUCUUUAAAAUACGUGCAAUUUAAGCAGCCACUCUCUCAUUUGAAGGGGAGCAUUGAUAGAUGCUCUAGAAUUCAGAAUGGCAUUUCGAGGGAAAUCUGGCCGGAUGUCUGAUUCUGCAGUACCCUAAGCACAGCUCUGGCUUCUGCUCUUUGUGUUACGAGCACAUGGCUGUCCCCAUUUCCCUGGAGGAGACACCCAGACUGGCACAGAGUAAUCGACAGUUCAUGAGGGAUGGGCCCAGGAUUGAACCCAGGCGGAGUGGACCGCGUGGGGGGUGCUUGCACAGCCGUCUUCCCUGCCGUUGCCUUCCUUUCCACAAACAAUAUACGUGCUGUGAAAAGCUAAAACAACACUGACGCGUAUCAGCAGAAAAUGAAAGUCACCUUGAAUUCUACUUCCCACAGAUGUUGGAAUGGCUCGCCAUCAGUGUGGUUUCUCUCAGUCUGUGACAUUUUCCUCUGCACCUGUACAGCCAUCUAUUCACGCACGUCGUCAGACACACGUGUAUUUUUAAAGGCACCAUGCUGUGAUACUGCUUUGCAGCUUGCUUUAUUUCCAAUUUUCACUGGGACGUUUUUCAAUAUCAUUGGAUCAACUUCAUUUUUAUAAUGCAUUUAUAAUAUAUCUGUGUUCCAUCGA